rnacentral:misc_RNA from 1 species
UACAUAGGGUGCAAGCUUUGUCAGGAAUUAUUGGGCGUAAAGAGCUCGUAGGUGGUUCGAUACGUCGGAUUUGAAAAUCAGGGGCUCAACCCCUGACCUGCAUUCGAUACGGUCGAGCUAGAGUUUGGUAGGUGAGACUGGAAUUCCUGGUGUAGCGGUGGAAUGCGCAGAUAUCAGGAGGAACACCAAUGGCGAAGGCAGGUCUCUGGGCCAAUACUGACACUGAGGAGCGAAAGUCUGGGGGGCGAACAGG